rnacentral:rRNA from 1 species
AGUGAACGCUGGCGGUAGGCCUAACACAUGCAAGUCGAACGGCAGCACAGGAGAGCUUGCUCUCUGGGUGGCGAGUGGCGGACGGGUGAAGAAUACAUCGGAAUCUACUCUGUCGUGGGGGAUAACGUAGGGAAACUUACGCUAAUACCGCAUACGACCUACGGGUGAAAGCAGGGGAUCUUCGGACCUUGCGCGAUUGAAUGAGCCGAUGUCGGAUUAGCUAGUUGGCGGGGUAAAGGCCCACCAAGGCGACGACCCGUAGCUGGUCUGAGAGGAUGAUCAGCCACACUGGAACUGAGACACGGUCCAGACUCCUACGGGAGGCAGCAGUGGGGAAUAUUGGACAAUGGGCGCAAGCCUGAUCCAGCCAUACCGCGUGGGUGAAGAAGGCCUUCGGGUUGUAAGGCCCUUUUGUUGGGAAAGAAAUCCAGCUGGCUAAUACCCGGUUGGGAUGACGGUACCCAAAGAAUAAGCACCGGCUAACUUCGUGCCAGCCGCCGCCGUAA